rnacentral:rRNA from 1 species
CCUACGGGUGGCAGCAGUGGGGAAUAUUGCACAAUGGGGGAAACCCUGAUGCAGCGACGCCGCGUGAGUGAAGAAGUAAUUCGUUAUGUAAAGCUCUAUCAGCAGGGAAGAAAAUGACGGUACCUGAGUAAGAAGCCCCGGCUAACUACGUGCCAGCAGCCGCGGUAAUACGGAGGGUGCAAGCGUUAUCCGGAUUUACUGGGUGUAAAGGGGGCGUAGACGGCGAUGCAAGUCUGAAGUGAAAGGCGGGGGCCCAACCCCCGGACUGCUUUGGAAACUGUAUGGCUGGAGUGCAGGAGAGGUAAGUGGAAUUCCUGGUGUAGCGGUGAAAUGCGUAGAUAUUAGGAGGAACACCAGUGGCGAAGGCGGCUUACUGGACUGUAACUGACGUUGAGGCUCGAAAGCGUGGGGAGCAAACAGGAUUAGAUACCCGGGUAGUC